rnacentral:lncRNA from 1 species
CUCAUAUUUAUUUUUGCUAAAACUCCAACAAAAAACUGUCGUUCUCCUGGUUGUUGUAGUUGUAGUUGUAGUUGUAGUUGUGGCUGCUGCUCUUUCUGGCUGGCAUUGGCAAUGCCAAUUACCGGCGGCCGGGAACCCUAGCAAUUUGGCCAUAUCCGGCCCCCAUGGCCGGGAUGGGAUAGGAUGGAUGUUUGGCUGGGCC